rnacentral:rRNA from 1 species
GAUGAACGCUAGCUACAGGCUUAACACAUGCAAGUCGAGGGGAAACGAUAUUGGAAGCUUGCUUCUGAUAGGCGUCGACCGGCGCACGGGUGAGUAACGCGUAUCCAACCUGCCCAUCACUUGGGGAUAACCUUGCGAAAGUAAGACUAAUACCCAAUGACGUCUCUAGAAGACAUCUGAAAGAGAUUAAAGAUUUAUCGGUGAUGGAUGGGGAUGCGUCUGAUUAGCUUGUUGGCGGGGUAACGGCCCACCAAGGCGACGAUCAGUAGGGGUUCUGAGAGGAAGGUCCCCCCACAUUGGAACUGAGACACGGUCCAAACUCCUACGGGAGGCAGCAGUGAGGAAUAUUGGUCAAUGGACGAGAGUCUGAACCAGCCAAGUAGCGUGCAGGAUGACGGCCCUAUGGGUUGUAAACUGCUUUUAUAAGGGAAUAAAGUGGGAGUCGUGACUCUUUUUGCAUGUACCUUAUGAAUAAGGACCGGCUAAUUCCGUGCCAGCAG